CCAAAAAACUCCCUCAAACUCCCUCCCCAGUAUAAACCCCUCAUUCUGUAAGCUUGGCGCUACCUCCUCUGAGUGUGGUGGAGUAGCCCGGCUGGUUCAACAAAGUUACUCGCCUGACUUUGGGUCUAUUCUUCCUUCCCUCGGCUGCCCUUACAUUCUGGUGCCGAAAGCCCGGAAGGGGAUAGACUCUGGCCGGGACUCACUCUCUCCUCUCUCUCCCUCCCCAUCACCGCUCUCCUGGCCAUUCUCACCUUUCCCCAACCUGCCGAAGACCCAGAGAAUCUCCUAGGUUCUCCCUUUGCUGGCGACCUCAUCCACCAUCAAAACCUCCGCCAGGGUCCUGGCUGAGUCAUCAUCCAUCACAGCAGGCUGGUACAACAUCACAGUGGAGGACAAUUCUCUAGGGACCACAGAGGAUAUGAAUGUGACCUGGGUUAGCAAAGGCCUCCCCAAGAAGCUGGAGCAGAGUGGGGCACCAGGAUCAGCCCCCAAUCCCUGGACCUUGGCUGUGAGCCUGCCUGAGCCUGAGCCAGUGCAAUGCCGGUCUUCUGUAUGUGGUCAGAAACUUCAGACACCAGAAAACUGUCACCUUAGAUGUUGGAAGAGUCUGUUGAGCUUAACAAAUUGCCAGCAAGCCCCUACAGUUACAUUUCUGCAAAGCAAUGUUCUUCAGGUGGGGAAAUAAAGAACUUCCACCUCUAGCCAGAGAAGAAGCCCAGACCACAUGCGUAAGAGAUGGCAUCACUAUUGUAGAACCUAAGAUUGCUCUUUUGAGAUAUUUUUCAGACUUUGCAUUUUGGCAACUGACUGACUCCACCUGGACUCAUGACUCAACUGGUCUUGUGGCCCCCAACCAAGAGCUGGGCUCAGCACAUGAGGAUGGUUUUCCACACCCCUAUGAUUGCAUCCCCAACCAAUCAGUAGCACUCAUUCCUGAGUCCCGUACCCACCAAACUAUCCUUGAAAAACCUUAACCUCCAAGCCCUCAGAGAGACUGACUUGAGUGAUAACUCCAUCUCCCAUCUGGCCUGCCUCACAUUAAUAAAACUCUGUCUCUGCUGCAAUAGCAUGGUUUCAGUGAAUUAGUUUUGUCUUGGUGGGCAGGAAGAACCUGUUGUGUGACUACAAAGAGUGUCAUGUAGCAGAGGGCACCUGGAGCCAACUCCCA
rnacentral:lncRNA from 10 species